GAUGAACGCUGGCGGCGUGCCUAAUACAUGCAAGUCGAGCGAAUGGAUUAAGAGCUUGCUCUUAUGAAGUUAGCGGCGGACGGGUGAGUAACACGUGGGUAACCUGCCCAUAAGACUGGGAUAACUCCGGGAAACCGGGGCUAAUACCGGAUAAUAUUUUGAACUGCAUGGUUCAAAAUUGAAAGGCGGCUUCGGCUGUCACUUAUGGAUGGACCCGCGUCGCAUUAGCUAGUUGGUGAGGUAACGGCUCACCAAGGCAACGAUGCGUAGCCGACCUGAGAGGGUGAUCGGCCCCACUGGGACUGAGACACGGCCCAGACUCCUACGGGAGGCAGCAGUAGGGAAUCUUCCGCAAUGGACGAAAGUCUGACGGAGCAACGCCGCGUGAGUGAUGAAGGCUUUCGGGUCGUAAAACUCUGUUGUUAGGGAAGAACAAGUGCUAGUUGAAUAAGCUGGCACCUUGACGGUACCUGACCAGAAAGCCACGGCUAACUACGUGCCAGCCGCCGCGGUAA
rnacentral:rRNA from 1 species